AGAAUCAACGCUGGCGGCGUGCCUAACACAUGCAAGUCGAACGAGAAAGUGGAGCAAUCCAUGAGUAAAGUGGCGCACGGGUGAGUAACACGUGACUAACCUACCCUUGAGUGGGGGAUAACCUAGAGAAAUCUGGUCUAAUACCGCAUAAUACCUUCGGGUCAAAGGAGCAAUUCGCUUAAGGAGGGGGUCGCGGCCGAUUAGUUAGUUGGCGGGGUAAUGGCCCACCAAGACUGUGAUCGGUA
rnacentral:rRNA from 1 species